UACGGGGGGGGUAAGCGUUGUUCGGAAUUACUGGGCGUAAAGGGCUCGUAGGCGGCCAACUAAGUCAUACGUGAAAGCCCCCGGCUCAACUGGGGAGGGUCACGCGAUACUGAUCGACUCGAAGGCAGGAGAGGGUAGUGGAAUUCCCGGUGUAGUGGUGAAAUGCGUAGAUAUCGGGAGGAACACCGAUGGCGAAGGCAGCUCGCUGGGACGGUACUGACGCUGAGGCGCGAAAGCGUGGGGAGCGAACAGG
rnacentral:rRNA from 1 species